ACCUAUGUGCCAGGGGGGAAAAAAAAUACUUCCAGGCCCUUCCCAUUGCAGUGGGUCCUCCAUUAUGGAUGAAUUUGUUAGUAGCAUGAUUUGAGCAGAGCUCUGAGUCUUCCAGGCAGGAAAAUAGCAAUUUUCCUCUUGGAGCAAUUUAUAUUCAUUUAAAUAUGCUUGUGUAGGAGAGCAAAUCUUGCCACCCCAGAAUGUCUCUGGCAUGUGAAUGAUUUCAAGCUGAAAACAUCAAGGCCCCAAAGACUCAGGAAGAAAUUCUGACCUUCCCUUGACUAAAAAAAUUUUUUUUAGAUAAAGGGCCUGUACCCAGAAUAGAGCUAUCAGCAGAGAUGAUCUGCAAAGAAUAUGGGCCAUGUCUGUGAGGGAAACUCAGCAGGGCCUAGAGGUCAGGGUCCACUCCGUGUCCCUUUGCACUGCAGAGCCCAGCAAACAUUUGUUUAUCAAACAUUUGCUUUUCCAUCUCAGGGUGAACUGCCCUCAUCCCCUUCGAAGUUCCAAACCGCCAUCUCCAACAUCCCCUUUUGUCUUUAGCUUGAAGAUGUUGUUUAAGCCUGGGAUCUGGAAUACAGUGGAAGCUCUCAAAUGCAGCAUCCUGCAGACAGACUGCAGUAACAAGAGACACACAGCCCCCAUUCCAUAGCAACUGCUGGGACGAGCCUGUCAGCAUAUUCUCCAGAAAAUCCUGUGCAGCAAGACCUGGAAGCCACAGCUUCAGCCUCCUUGGCCCAGGCUCUCCCCUCUCACUCACAGCACUCUGAAAAAUAGCCACCAGCUUCUCCGCCUUUCCGGCCCAUGAAACCAUCUAGGACAGAAGUUUGUGUCCAAUUUGCAAGUGCAACUGUCUCAGGGAUCAGGUGAGACUGUCUUGGCAUCUAUCUAACCGAAAUGUUUAUUCCUGGGUAUCAGAGAUACAUGUCAUAACAGCUUACAGCUGUAACACAUCAAACUCAAGAAACAAUCUCAAAGAUCAAAAUCUAACCCCUUGUAAAGAUGAAAACUCCAUCUCAGAAGAGUCAAGACCAACUAAGGUUCGAUAGAAACUUAUAGCCAAACUGAGAGCAAAACCCAGCCAGUGUCAAUUUCAAGGCUCCGCCGACGAUGAGACGACGCUCCCAGAAUGCAGCUAGGGUUAUAAGGUUAAGGUAAGAGCCUAUGCAGCUGUGUCAGGAGCAAGAGGGGAUCAAUAAAGGCAAGGGUGCCACAUAACCCAACAGUAACGAGAACGACCAUGUAGCCUCUCCACCUCUAGACUAGCCCACGUACUGGUGUACUGAAGAAAAAUCCCCAAAGUUUGAGAAGGUGGUAAAAGAAAAACACUGCAGUAAAAGGAUGACUCUAUAGAAUGUAGCCCCUGCUCAUUCCCAUGGUCUGGUGAAUGGGAGAUGUACUGACCCACACAAGCUUUCAAGGGCAUGUGUGGGAGCCUUCAGGUCAGGAAGCAAAGAAGAGAAACCACGUCACCAUUCUCCAGCGAGCAGCUUUCUUCCACGACUGGUGAAAACCACAAACAGAAACAUCCACUCAGUGUCCCAUUGUUUCUGGGACACUGGUUGGCCAAACAAGUUUGCCUUGGUCAAAGGAGAAAGAAGCACUCUUUCUUAUGGGGACCUAGGGCCAGCAGAGAGAGUGGCAUCUUCCUGGGGACGUGUAUCCUUUGCAGCUAGCACAGUUUUACUCUUUACAAUUUCACUUUAGUUGCCAUGAAAAAUCAGAUUCCACUUCAGUUCCUCUCAGAUGUUAACUUGUACAUCUAAUUUCCUUUAGCUCCAUGACAGAAGUCCAUCCUUUUUCACACAUUCUGUCAGUCCACAUAAAUGUGCUAAUAUCCCAGGCUUUGUGUUAGAUUCCGGGUAUACAGAGGUGAGUGAGAUCUUUCGUCGAGCUCACAGAGUGAUGGGGCAGAUGGUAUUAGAUGCCUGUAUCUGUUUGGGGGACCCUAUGGCGUUGUCUCUGCCAGCUUCAGUUGCUUCAUUUGUCAAGGAGAGAGUUGGAUGGAUGGUUCUUGAAUCCAGGGUUCCGCCUGCAGCCGGCCACUACCUUACAUGGGGUUAUCAUGGCCUGGUCUCCCUUCACAGCCUUGGACACUGAAGGAUUUUCCAAACCAUCCCCUGCCCGUCCUUAGAGGUUUAAGACCACUCUCCUCCCCAAGGGAGAGGAGCAAAGGUUCGCAAGGCAGUUAUCAGGGAGGUUUACAAGGAGUAAGGAGGAGGGGGAGAAGAUGAGAAAGACAAGAGUAAGUCCUGCUGGAAGAGAGAGAGAAGUUGAGAAUGAUGAUUAAAGGAGAACACAUAUGUGCACACAAUCCUUCAGCUCUAGGAGACUGAACUUUAUUGAAAAGUUUAAAUGAGACCUUUCAAAUGUUAAAAGGUCUGCACAAGAUUACACUGUCUGCACAAAUUAACCAAGUAUUGUUCAUCACUGCAAAGCAACUCUAUCAAAAACAACAACGACAACAACAAAAAACGUAGCAACUGUCACUGUCGCUCUGACAGCACUAUGAGGAAACAGGGCUGCAAGAAAAGCAGGCAAACAUGGGCUUCCUGACACAGAGAUGCAAAUCAGAAGUAUUAAAAUUUGGACACAAACAUGAGAAAAAAAACCCCAAAA